rnacentral:rRNA from 1 species
CGACCAGCCACACUGGGAUGAGACACGGCCCAGAUCUUACGGGAGGCAGCAGUGGGGAAUUUUGGACAAUGGGGGAAACCCUGAUCCAGCAAUGCCGCGUGUGUGAAGAAGGCCUUCGGGUUGUAAAGCACUUUUGUCCGGAAAGAAAUCCUGAUGGCUAAUAUCCGUCGGGGAUGACGGUACCGGAAGAAUAAGCACGGCUAACUACGUGCCAGCAGCCGCGGUAAUACGUAGGGUGCAAGCGUUAAUCGGAAUUACUGGGCGUAAAGCGUGCGCAGGCGGUGAUGUAAGACCGAUGUGAAAUCCCCGGGCUCAACCUGGGAACUGCAUUGGUGACUGCAUCGCUUGAGUAUGGCAGAGGGGGGUAGAAUUCCACGUGUAGCAGUGAAAUGCGUAGAGAUGUGGAGGAAUACCGAUGGCGAAGGCAGCCCCCUGGGUCAAUACUGACGCUCAUGCACGAAAGCGUGGGGAGCAAACAGGAUUAGAUACCCUGGUAGUCCACGCCCUAAACGAUGUCAACUGGUUGUCGGGUCUUCAUUGACUUGGUAACGUAGCUAACGCGUGAAGUUGACCGCCUGGGGAGUACGGUCGCAAGAUUAAAACUCAAAGGAAUUGACGGGGACCCGCACA